rnacentral:rRNA from 1 species
AGUGAACGCUGGCGGUAGGCCUAACACAUGCAAGUCGAACGGCAGCACAGUAAGAGCUUGCUCUUACGGGUGGCGAGUGGCGGACGGGUGAGGAAUACAUCGGAAUCUACUUUUUCGUGGGGGAUAACGUAGGGAAACUUACGCUAAUACCGCAUACGACCUACGGGUGAAAGCAGGGGAUCUUCGGACCUUGCGCGAUUGAAUGAGCCGAUGUCGGAUUAGCUAGUUGGCGGGGUAAAGGCCCACCAAGGCGACGAUCCGUAGCUGGUCUGAGAGGAUGAUCAGCCACACUGGAACUGAACCACGGUCCAGACUCCUCAGGGAGGCAGCAGUGGGGAAUAUUGGACAAUGGGCGCAAGCCUGAUCCAGCCAUACCCCGUGGGUGCAGAAGGCCUUCGGGUUGUAAAGCCCUUUUGUUGGGAAAGAAAAGCAGCAGGUUAAUACCCCGCUGUUCUGACGGUACCCAAAGAAUAAGCACCGGCUAACUUCGUG